GGAAGGGGUGAACCCUAGAGGUUUAAAGGCUAAUGAACUGUGGCAAACAGAUGUUACGCCUAUUUUAGAAUUUGGACGUCUCAAAUAUGUACAUGUCACAGUCGACACCCAUUCUCAAUUUUUGUGGGCCACCGCCCACACUGGUGAAAAGGCUAGGGAUGUGACUCGUCAUUGGCUUGCCUGCCUUGAGGUCUUGGGGGGUGCCAAUAAACAUCAAAAUGGACAACAGCCCAGCCUAUUGCUCAGGCCGUGUACGUCAAUUCCUCAAUACAUGGGGCAUCUCUCAUGUAACAGGCAUACCCCGCUCCCCAACCGGCCAAGCCAUUGUUGAGCGGUCGCAUCGCAGCCUGAAAGACAUGCUACAAAAACAAAAAAAAGGGGCAGACACUGCUCACCCCACAAGAAUGACUACACAAAGCGUUAUAUGUCCUUAAUUUUUUGAAUUGUGAUGAAACAGGUCGUAAUAAUUCCAAACGUCAGCAAGCCACAGACAUAAGAUCAAUACAAAAGCCCCCAGGUUUGGUCAAAGACUUGGUUUCCGGCCAACGGGUGGGACCAAUGGAACUGAUAACCUGGGGGAGGGAAAAUGCUUGUGUUUCUACAGGAACUCGGUUACGAUGGGUGCCGUCGCGACGUGUAUGACCUUAUGUUGCCUCAUCCUCGGAGCAAAAAAAAAAAAAAACACUCUGCUUUAAUUCUAAGUGCAAGGCCAGCAAGUGUUUUUCAUUCCUACUUUUGGGUUUUGGUCUAUUGGAAGCAAAUGAGCAUCAUUUUUGAAAGCCCAUCUAAACAGCUGAGCACAGGCUAAAGAUGGUCCCAGAUCUCUCUCUCUCUCUCUCUCUCUCUCUCUACGUAUGUACAUAUGUAUGUGUGUUCAUUUUUCCCCUUUAAACUGUCCCUGUAAUCCCAGACAUAAUUGUUCCAGUGCUCACGAAUAAGCCACUCCGGUUUUGCUGUCUCAGCUAAAGUGAAAGCACUAAAAAUAAACUAAGCAAUCUUUCCUUUUCUUUCA
rnacentral:lncRNA from 1 species